CCUGCCGAAUUGGAGAAGCGGGACAACGAUGGAAACAGGCGCGGGACAGACCCUCGUCCAGCCUAUCGAGGCCCAAGAGCCGCCCUGUGGGUCUGAGGACCCACUGACUAGCGCUCGGUCAGGUACCUGUUUAACCCAAACUCAGAAAAGAUGAAGUCCACGGGACAAGGACAUCAUUCAUCAGGUCCCCUUUGCACAAACUUUUGGUGAAAUCGAAAAGACUCAGAAUUUUCCACAGAUUCAUUCACUUGUGGGAGAUCUAAGAGACUCCAAGCAACUGUAGGGUAGGUAUUAAAUCUGUGAUGAAUAAGGAAGGAAGGCCUGACAGCCUCCAGAGGCCAUAUUAUCAGCUUGAGCCACAAUCUAUUUCCAAUCCAGA